GGUAGCGCGUCCGUCUGGGGACGGAAGGUCGCAGGUUCGAGUCCUGCUAGC
rnacentral:tRNA from 1 species